rnacentral:rRNA from 1 species
UACGAAGGGGGCUAGCGUUGCUCGGAAUCACUGGGCGUAAAGCGCACGUAGGCGGCUUUUUAAGUCAGAGGUGAAAUCCUGGAGCUCAACUCCAGAACUGCCUUUGAUACUGGAGAGCUUGAGUCCGGGAGAGGUGAGUGGAACUGCGAGUGUAGAGGUGAAAUUCGUAGAUAUUCGGAAGAACACCAGUGGCGAAGGCGACUCACUGGACACGAUUGACGCUGAGGUGCGAAAGCGUGGGAGCAAACAGG